AAUUUAUUGGCAGUUUACUAUUUGGAAAUGUCCUCAUAUAAAUUAAUGGGAAGGUAAUAUUAAUCCUCAGUCCCUGGGGGAGGAGAAAGGCAAACAAAACCCCCAUUCCUGGUGCUCAAGGAAAAGCAGCCCAUUAAAUCAUCCCCUUUGCUCUGCAGGGGCCAUCGCUCCAAGGGCACAAGUGAUGCAGAGAUGCUCCAGAGCUUGGGCUCCGGCUCUUCCCAUGGGUCCCACAAAGCCAGCACUCAGUAAUAGAGAACUGCUGCGGCUCCGGAAUACUGACAUGCAGGAGUCAGGAUCGCUUUUCUACUGAGGAGAUGAGGAACAGGAGUGAUUAUUUCGUAUCACUUAUGGAAGAGACCUUACAGUAAUGUACCUGCUGUGCGUUGAUAAAUAGCACCCACAGAUAAUAAGGGCCUUAGGCAAAGAGCAAGGAAGAAAAAAAGGCUUUCCAACGUGUGAACACAAACGCAUUAAAUGUGAACUAAAUUGGCCUGCUCAUUCCUCAGAUUCGCAAAAUUAAACCGCGCCAAAGUGUCA